CUUCCUUUGGUAUUUCUAGAACUCAACUGCAGGAAGACAACUAUGUUUGAGGUUGCCAGUAAAGCAAGUUCCACGUUUCUGAGAAUCCUUCAUACUUCAAGUUCAAGUCUGGGAACCACAUGGCAGCCACGAUCUAGUUUAAAGUACAGUAGAUCAGCCUCUGGAGACCCAGAUUUCAUUCUGUCUCUGCCUAUAACUCACUGUGUGAACUCAGAGAAAAGAGGACCAGGGAAGGAUCAACAGUUAUGAGAAAAACGAAGAGGAAAAAACUCCACUCACCACACCUGGAAAUGGAAGAUAUCUCUUUGUUCCUGUGUCCCAUUCCCCACCCUCACCACCAUAUCCUGUGGCUUAUUUGUGUUUUCCUUCUAUCAUCCACAAUGGCUUUUUAAUUUUAUAUUGAGAGUACCCUAGGAAGAAGGCACUAAGUGAGAAAUCACUGCAGAAGUUCAAGAAGAGAACAUAUAUAAUGUCUUGGAUGUGAACUAAGAGAUGCUAAGCCUGAAAAAGAAUCUUGUCAAAUUAGGUAGUCAUGUCUACUUCAUCUCAUUGCACUAA